rnacentral:rRNA from 1 species
GAUGAACGCUGGCGGCGUGCCUAAUACAUGCAAGUCGAGCGAACAGACGAGGAGCUUGCUCCUCUGACGUUAGCGGCGGACGGGUGAGUAACACGUGGAUAAACUACCUAUAAGACUGGGAUAACUUCGGGAAACCGGAGCUAAUACCGGAUAAUAUAUUGAACCGCAUGGUUCAAUAGUGAAAGACGGUUUUGCUGUCACUUAUAGAUGGAUCCGCGCCGCAUUAGCUAGUUGGUAAGGUAACGGCUUACCAAGGCAACGAUGCGUAGCCGACCUGAGAGGGUGAUCGGCCACACUGGAACUGAGACACGGUCCAGACUCCUACGGGAGGCAGCAGUAGGGAAUCUUCCGCAAUGGGCGAAAGCCUGACGGAGCAACGCCGCGUGAGUGAUGAAGGUCUUCGGAUCGUAAAACUCUGUUAUUAGGGAAGAACAAAUGUGUAAGUAACUAUGCACGUCUUGACGGUACCUAAUCAGAAAGCCACGGCUAACUACGUG